rnacentral:rRNA from 1 species
UACGGAGGAUCCAAGCGUUAUCCGGAAUUACUGGGCGUAAAGAGUUGCGUAGGUGGCAUAGUAAGUUGGUAGUGAAAUUGUGUGGCUCAACCAUACACCCAUUACCAAAACUGCUGAGCUAGAGUAUGAGAGAGGUCGCUGGAAUUUCUAGUGUAGGAGUGAAAUCCGUAGAUAUUAGAAGGAACACCGAUGGCGUAGGCAGGCGACUGGCUCAUUACUGACACUAAGGCACGAAAGCGUGGGGAGCGAACAGG